AGCAGCCGCGGUAAUUCCAGCUCCAAUAGCGUAUAUUAAAGUUGUUGCAGUUAAAAAGCUCGUAGUUGAAUUUCGGGAUCAAUAUAUUGGUCAUGCUUAGGUAUGUACUGGUAUUAUUGAUUUCUCCCUUCUGAAGAACCAUAAUGUCAUUAAUUUGAUGUCAUGGGGAAUCAGGACUAGUUACUUUGAAAAAAUUAGAGUGUUUAAAGCAGGCUUUCGCUUGAAUACAUUAGCAUGGAAUAAUGAAAUAGGACGUUUGAUUCUAUUUUGUUGGUUUCUAGGAUCGACGUAAUGAUUAAUAGGGGAUAGUUGGGGGCAUUAGUAUUCAAUUGUCAGAGGUGAAAUUCUUGGAUUUAUUGAAGACUAACUAACUGCGAAAGCAAUUUGCCUAAGGAUGUUUUCAUUAAUCAAGAACGAAAGUUAGGGGAUCGAAGACGAUCAGAUACCGUCGUAGUCUUAACCAUAAACUAUGCCGACUAGGGAUCGGAUGAUGUAAUUUUUAAUGACUC
rnacentral:rRNA from 1 species